AUUACCAUGCAAACUUCCACCGAAAAUUGGUUUGAACGAGAUCUAGUAAGUAGUUUUUUUUUAAUACGUCAUAAAUCGGGGGGGACACACAUUUUACAACUUUGGAAGUGUCUCUCGCGCAAACUAUUCAGUUUAGAAGAAAAUGAUAUUAGAAACCUCAAUAUCAUUUUUGAAGACCUAUCCAUAGAUACCCCACACGUAUGGGUUUGAUGAAAAAAAAUUUUUUGAGUUUCAGUUCUAUGUAU